UACGGGAGGCAGCAGUGGGGAAUAUUGCACAAUGGGCGCAAGCCUGAUGCAGCCAUCGCCGCGUGUAUAGAAAAAGGCCUUCGGGUUAGUAAAGUACUUUCAGUCGUGAGGAAGGUGUUAAGGUUAAUAACCUUAGCAAUUGACGUUAGCGACAGAAGAAGCACCGGCUAACUCCGUGCCAGCAGCCGCGGUAAUACGGAGGGUGCGAGCGUUAAUCGGAAUUACUGGGCGUAAAGGGCACGCAGGCGGUUAAUUAAGUUGGAUGUGAAAUCCCCGGGCUUAACCUGGGAAUGGCAUUCAAGACUGGUUAGCUAGAGUCUUGUAGAGGGGGUAGAAUUCCAUGUGUAGCGGUGAAAUGCGUAGAGAUGUGGAGGAAUACCGGUGGCGAAGGCGGCCCCUGGACAAAGACUGACGCUCAUGUGCGAAAGCUGGGGAGCAAACAGGGAUUAGAUACC
rnacentral:rRNA from 1 species